rnacentral:tRNA from 1 species
GGGGUUGUGGCUCAGUGGUAGAGCGCUAGCCUAGCACUGGCGAGGCCCUGGGUUCAAUUCCCAACACCA